rnacentral:lncRNA from 1 species
AUGACAGCACCAACAAUGGACCCAGCGGACGAUCAAGUUAGCCGUGAGUGGGAGGAUUUAUUUAUUAUGAAGGCAAUAGAACGCUGGGAGAGUUUGGGGUACCACCCGGUUCCUCCUGGCACUCCAGCUCCCGCACUGACUCCGGUCCCCGAGCCCUGUCCGGUUCCUGAGCCCACUCCGCGCUUUCCAGCGUGGUACUGGCCUGGUCGCCUGCUUGAGGUGGUCCGUCCUCCGCUCCUGCCUGAGGGGGCCCGCCCCCUGCUCCUUCCAGAGGGGUACCGGCCUCUGCUUCCACCGGAGGGGGUCCGCCCUCCAGACCGUCCAGGGGAGGCACGCCCUCUACCUGGCCUUUCACCAGAGGGGACCCGCCCUCUACCCUGUCCACCAGAGGGGACCCGCCCUCUGCCUGGCCUUCUACCAGAGGGGACCCGCCCUCUGCCUGGCCUUCUACCAGAGGGGACCCGCCCUCUGCCUGGCCUUCUACAAGAGGGGACCCGCCCUCUACCCUGUCCACCAGAGAGGACCCGCCCUUUGCCUGGCCCUCCUCCUGAGGGGACCCGCCCUUUGCCUGGCCCUCCUCCUGAGGGGACCCGCCCUCUACCUGGCCUGCCUCCUGAGGGGACCCGCCCUCUACCUGGCCUGCCUCCUGAGGGGACCCGCCCUCUACCUGGCCUUCCUCUUGAGGGGACCCGCCCUCUACCUCGCCUUCGCCGGCCUCCUGAAGGGUUCCGCCUUCACCGCUGCCGGCCUUCUGAGGGGGUUCUGUGCCACUGCAGGUCUCCUGAGGGACUGAGCCCUCAUCGUCCUUGCCGCCGGCCUCCUGAAGGGUUCCGCCUUCACUCUGCCUCUGCUUGCCCCCCAGGCCGUCCGCCUGAGGCUCCCUGCCAUGCCCUGGGGCAGUUUUCUGGACGCCCGCCUGACGUCCCUCGGCUCUGCCGCAGUCCAUUUUUUUUUGAUUCCCCCCUCCUGGCGCCCCUCCACCCACCCGUUUUGGGUUUGACUUUCUUUGUUUUUUGUUUGUCGUGGGUCGCCUGGGAGUCGACCCUUAAGGGGGGGGUACUGUCAGGGUGUGGGUGUCUCCCUGUGUUUUUCCCUCCUGUGUUGAUUACUGUUCCCUCCCCUAAUGUGUCUCAGCUGUUCCUCGUUGUGUUUGUUAUUUAA